AGUGAACGCUGGCGGUAGGCCUAACACAUGCAAGUCGAACGGCAGCACAGUAAGAGCUUGCUCUUACGGGUGGCGAGUGGUGGACGGGUGAGGAAUACAUCGGAAUCUACUUUUUCGUGGGGGAUAACGUAGGGAAACUUACGCUAAUACCGCAUACGACCUACGGGUGAAAGCAGGGGAUCUUCGGACCUUGCGCGAUUGAAUGAGCCGAUGUCGGAUUAGCUAGUUGGCGGGGUAAAGGCCCACCAGGGCGACGAUCCGUAGCUGGUCUGAGAGGAUGAUCAGCCACACUGGAACUGAGACACGGUCCAGACUCCUACGGGAGGCAGCAGUGGGGAAUAUUGGACAAUGGGCGCAAGCCUGAUCCAGCCAUACCGCGUGGGUGAAGAAGGCCUUCGGGUUGUAAAGCCCUUUUGUUGGGAAAGAAAAGCAGCAGGUUAAUACCCCGCUGUUCUGACGGUACCCAAAGAAUAAGCACCGGCUAACUUCGUG
rnacentral:rRNA from 1 species